rnacentral:rRNA from 1 species
AACGAACGCUGGCGGCAUGCCUAACACAUGCAAGUCGAACGAUCCCUUCGGGGAUAGUGGCGCACGGGUGCGUAACGCGUGGGAAUCUGCCCUUGGGUUCGGAAUAACAGUUAGAAAUGACUGCUAAUACCGGAUGAUGUCUUCGGACCGAAGAUUUAUCGCCCAGGGAUGAGCCCGCGCAGGAUUAGGUAGUUGGUGGGGUAAUGGCCUACCAAGCCGACGAUCCUUAGCUGGUCUGAGAGGAUGAUCAGCCACACUGGGACUGAGACACGGCCCAGACUCCUACGGGAGGCAGCAGUGGGGAAUAUUGGACAAUGGGCGCAAGCCUGAUCCAGCAAUGCCGCGUGAGUGAUGAAGGCCUUAGGGUUGUAAAGCUCUUUUACCAGGGAUGAUAAUGACAGUACCUGGAGAAUAAGCUCCGGCUAACUCCGUGCCAGCCGCCGCAGUAA